AUAUGCACAGUUUAAUGUACCAAUUAACUAUAGCUGUAAACAAAUGCACAACCUCUUUAGAUCCAUAUAAAGAUAGAAAUAAAGUGCAAAAACAAGUCAUAUAAGACAAUAACCACAUAAUCUUAAUAUAAAUAAACAUAAUCCUGUCAACAAGACAGAAUAAAAACUAGCAAGUUUUGCAUCAAAAACUGUAUAGUUUUGUGGUCAUUUAUCUCCAAAGGAGUGAGAGCAAAAUUCCAAGUGCAAAACAGAUACGGGUGUAAAUUACAGUGCAAUUUUUCUUGCCUUCAUUCAAUGGGGGAAAUUAAAACAGGCUUGACUUGAGUCAUCUACUGAUCAGAGCAUUAGAAUUGCAGGAAUAAAUAACAUCUAAAUGUCUGGUGGGGUAGAUGGGGGGGUACGG